GAUGAACGCUGGCGGCGUGCCUAAUACAUGCAAGUCGAGCGAACGGACGAGAAGCUUGCUUCUCUGAUUUUAGCGGCGGACGGGUGAGUAACACGUGGAUAACCUACCUAUAAGACUGGGAUAACUUCGGGAAACCGGCGCUAAUACCGGAUAAUAUUUUGAACCGCAUGGUUCAAAAGUGAAAGACGUUCUUGCUGUCACUUAUAGAUGGAUCCGCGCUUCAUUAGCUAGUUGGUAAGGUCACGGCUUACCAAGGCAACGAUGCAUAGCCGACCUGAGAGGGUGAUCGGCCACACUGGAACUGAGAAACGGUCCCGACCCCUACGGGAGGCAGCAGUAGCGAAUCUUCCGACAUGGGCGAAAGCCUGACGGAGGAAUGCAGGGUGAGUGAUGGAGGUCUUGGGGACGGAAAACCCUGUUAGUAGGGAAGAACAGAUGUGAAAGUAACUGUGCACUUCUUGACGGUACCUAAUCAGAAAGCCACCGCUAACUACGUG
rnacentral:rRNA from 1 species